UACACUUUAUUGAUGGCAUAGUAAAUGCAGAAAAAUAUCACAUUCUCGAACAUUCGCUUUUACCAAGUGCAGAAAAUUUAUAUCCAUCUGGAGAUUUUAUCUUUCAACAGGACGGUGCCUCAUGUCAUACUGCUAAAUCUCCAAAAAAAUGGAUGGGGGAACAUAAUAUGAAAGUUUUGUCACACCCCUCUAGCAGCCCGGAUCUCAAUCCAAUCGAAACCAUAGAGAAAUGAAUAUUAAAAGAGUGUUUGAAAGGUAGCCUAAAUUGAUCAUCAAGUUUUAAACCUUAACCUAAGAUAUUUAGUUCGGUUAGACGGCAUCGAGGGCCAACUUCUGUCAUAAUUGUCAUUAUUAUUAUCGAUUUUCUUUCCUUCCUUGCCAUCUUCGCAUCAUCGAUCGUCGCCAUUGCUUAUUCCUUUUUAUUUGGGCGUCCAUUGGGUGUGUUCUUUUGUUUUUUUCUCAACAAAAAAUAGUUAAAAAUGUAGCUUAAAGUCAUUAAAGUGUAAUUUCAUCAUAUAGGCAGAAGCUUUUUUGUUGUUUUAUUGUGUGGUUUCAGAUCCCUAGGAUGGGGUCUGACGAAAGGUAUCAUCAGUGCUUUGCUGCUAGGAAGUACCAAAAGCACAAUAAGUGAAACAACUUCCAUUCUACCAGAUCACUACUCAAGGAGGUACCUCACCUUGAUAAGGUGGGAGUAAGAUCCAGGGAUGCUCUUUGAAUAUUUAAGAAAAAGGACCGAUGACAUCUAGAAUUAAGGGUAUACAUCAGUGUCAACUAAUUUUUAAUAUCAUACUCUCCAUAAAGAAUAUUUUAAUUACAGGAUUAGUUUUUAUAUAUUACCACUCCCCUAACAUUUUUGGGUACCCUCUGUACAAAAAAGUAGGUAGUAAACGUAAAAUUUUUAGGGCAUAUUUUUGAGAAAUAUAGGUCUUAUGUCUGUAAAUAAUUAAUUUAUAAAUUUGAUAAAUUGUAAUUUUUGUAUCAUAUCCUCAAAAUGUAAAAUGUAAAAAGCAAAAUACAUACCAUGGAGUGUUGUGCUAAAGCAGCACAAAAACAAAUUGUAUCAGGAUCCCUUUUAAGACAAUAAAUUAUAAACUUAC